rnacentral:rRNA from 1 species
UACGUAGGUGGCAAGCGUUGUCCGGAUUUACUGGGCGUAAAGAGCGCGCAGGCGGUCGAUCAAGUCGCGUGUGAAAGCCCCCGGCUCAACUGGGGAGGGUCACGCGAUACUGAUCGACUCGAAGGCAGGAGAGGGUAGUGGAAUUCCCGGUGUAGUGGUGAAAUGCGUAGAUAUCGGGAGGAACACCAGUGGCGAAGGCGACUACCUGGCCUGUUUCGUUGACGCUGAGGCGCGAAAGCUAGGGGAGCAAAGCGGGGAUUAAGAAACCCUGGUAU